AUGGCCCAGACUUUGCUGCUCCUCACCUUCCUGGCCUCUUGCACAGGCUCCUGGGCGCAGACUGGACUGACACAGGAGGUAUCAGUGUCAGUGUUUGUGGGACAGACAGUCACCCUCUCCUGCACUGGAACCAGCAGCAAUGUUGGUACAUAUAGUACAGGCUGGUACCAGCAGAUUCCUGGUGCUGCCCCCAAAACUGUGAUGUUUGGAAGCAGUCGACCUUCAGGGAUCCCAGAUCGGUUCACUGAUUCUCGAUCUGGAAACAAGGCCUCUCUGACCAUCUCUGGUGUGCAGCCUGAGGAUGAGGCUGAUUAUUACUGUUCUGCAUGGGACAACAGUAUCAACAAUGCCACAGUGCUUCAGGCUCAAGGGGAAAUGAGACAAAAACCCAGCCCUGGUCUAAGUUAUCCCCCCAUGUCAGCCUGUGACAAACAGGAAACAGAGCUGUGGAGACUGCACUGUCUGAGUGUGACUCUGAGUACAGACCCACUGAACAGGGUCAAUGAUGGCUCCCCUUACUCAGACUGGGUGUAUUUAGUAACUAUGCAGAGAUGUAACCUGUUAUUAAUCAUGUUUAAACACUCAGUGCCCAGUUCAAAUUUUUUGCUCAUGAAUUGA